rnacentral:rRNA from 1 species
AGUGAACGCUGGCGGUAGGCCUAGCACAUGCAAGUCGAACGGCAGCACAGUAAGAGCUUGCUCUUACGGGUGGCGAGUGGCGGACGGGUGAGGAAUACAUCGGAAUCUACUUUUUCGUGGGGGAUAACGUAGGGAAACUUACGCUAAUACAGCAUACGACCUACGGGUGAAAGCAGGGGAUCUUCGGACCUUGCGCGAUUGAAUGAGCCGAUGUCGGAUUAGCUAGUUGGCGGGGUAAAGGCCCACCAAGGCGACGAUCCGUAGCUGGUCUGAGAGGAUGAUCAGCCACACUGGAACUGAGACACGGUCCAGACUCCUACGGGAGGCAGCAGUGGGGAAUAUUGGACAAUGGGCGCAAGCCUGAUCCAGCCAUACCGCGUGGGUGAAGAAGGCCUUCGGGUUGUAAAGCCCUUUUGUUGGGAAAGAAAAGCAGCAGGUUAAUACCCCGCUGUUCUGACGGUACCCAAAGAAUAAGCACCGGCUAACUUCGUG